UCCUCUUACAGUUUUUGAAACAACAAAUCAUUAUGAUUAUGAUCAUACUGGUUAUACAGAUUUUGCCAUUUCUAGCGAAUGUUCGACGUGCAAAUGUCAAGACUGCAAGGUGAAACAUGAUGGAGUGAUUAAUGCUAUUAAUGCAUUAACUGCUUUUAUAAAAGAAAUAACAUCUAAGAGGGGUGUCAUUCCAUCAAAGAGGAUUUCAUAUCCAUACACUCCUCUAGAGAUCAGGUGGCUAAGAGGAGAAUGAAAGAAAUUUCCAAAGCAUCAUCAAGCAUUGAAAAAAGCAAAAUUGCAAAUCCUCUAUCUUUGUCUUGCACCUUUGAUCAAUGUACAAGGGCCACAGGAGAGCAGCACGAGCUGAAGAAGGUGGAUAUCACAGUAGAAGCUACUGCUGAACAGCAUAAUAACACAGUUGAUAAUCUAUCAACUGCUUCUAUGGAAGAAGAAAAGGUGAAACCUGCCAGUUCAGGAGAACAGAAGAAUUAUCCAUUCGAAGAGUUCAACAUCUCGGACGAGGCUCUAAAAAAACUAACAAAGUUGAUCAACGACUAUUUAGAAUAGAUUGUCGAUGGCUGUUAAAGCAUCACGUUGGCAGCACAUCGAUGCCAUUUUUUACUACCUCCGAAAGAAUGUCAAGUUGCAAACACAAGAACAAUACAAAUACACGACAGACAAUUAUUUUUACAAAGUUUACAUCAAUAUGGCCUACGAUAGGUUAUGUCAACAAUAACCAGAAGUUUUUCGAACUGAGGAAUGCUUAAUCAAUAUCAUCAAAGGUUUUAGCAUUUCAGUUGGCUUACCUUGACAUUUGGUCGACGAAGUGUAUAUCUCAAUCAAUUGCGGUGAUGAAUUCUAUUAGGUGUUGGUUGUUAUCAUUUUAAAAGAGAGGCGCAUCCGAGUUUAUGACUCGAUGUCGGGAAAGAGACGUUCAACACCAUCAUCCGAGAUAUAAAACUUAGCCAAAAUAUUGCCUACUUACCUUGAUAUGAGUGGUUUUUUGGAUCAAAAAGUUCGUAUUGAUUGGUUGACGAUUGAAGCAAACCAGGAUAAAAUGGGUAAUCCAUUUGAUAUAGAAUAUGUUAAAGGAAUUGUUCAACAACCCAUUAGUAGCCUGAAUCGCAGUCUUUUUGUUGCCGCUUACACCGAAUAUUUAAGCGAUGGAUUACAAG